rnacentral:snRNA from 1 species
GGAUGUGAGGGCAAUCUGGCUGUGUCAUCUAUCACCUCAUUGAUCGCCAGGGUUGACUCCGCUGAUCUGGCUGGCUAGGUGGGUAUCCCUGUCCUCCGUCACCAUGCCAUUUGUGUCCCUCCCAAGGCUGGGAAGCUGUGUGCUCUGUCAGUGGAAGAGGAAGGACCUUCCCUGAUAGAGAAAGACCAUUCUUCUAUCAGGACUAGCUGUGCUCCCCUGCUAGAACCUCCAAGCGAGCUCUCAAGGUCCACUUGUAGGAGAAUGUAGGAUAGUAAAGCUUCCAAGACUCCAGACACAUCCAAAUGAGGCAUUUGCAUAUGGCACUCUGCCUUUCUUU